rnacentral:rRNA from 1 species
UGGGGGAUAUUGCACAAUGGGCGAAAGCCUGAUGCAGCGACGCCGCGUGGGGGAUGAAGGCUUUCGGGUUGUAAACCUCUUUCGCUAUCGAACAAGGCCCGCUUAGGGUGGGUUGAGGGUAGGUGGAGAAGAAGCGCCGGCUAACUACGUGCCAGCAGCCGCGGUAAUACGUAGGGCGCGAGCGUUCUCCGGAAUUAUUGGGCGUAAAGGGCUUGUAGGCGGCUUGUUGCGCCUGCUGUGAAAACGCGGGGCUUAACUUCGCGCGUGCAGUGGGUACGGGCAGGCUUGAGUGUGGUAGGGGUGACUGGAAUUCCAGGUGUAGCGGUGGAAUGCGCAGAUAUCUGGAGGAACACCGAUGGCGAAGGCAGGUCACUGGGCCAUUACUGACGCUGAGGAGCGAAAGCAUGGGUAGCGAACAGG